GACCCACGACUCCCUCGGCACCUUGUUCGCCCCCUGCUUGGACUUCGACUGAGUAGUCGCCUCCGUAGCCUAAGACGUCGCACCCUGGGCUUCUUCCUUGUUAGCUGCUCCUUCAAGGAGCAGCUGCUCCUCGGCUCCUUCAAGGAACAGCUGCUCCUCGCUCAUGGCAAUUUUCGAACCCGAGGAAGAUGCCCCCGCUUCAACGCGAGCCUGAGUUUCCUAUCCAACACUUACAAAAGUAAUUUAAAAAAACGGAAAAAUUCGGCAUGACCUAUGCUGUAAAACAAGAAAAUUUCGGCAUGACCAUUGCUGUAAAACAACAAAUGAGUCUACCCAAAUGUUAUACCUGCAUAAAAAAAAACUCCCACCCACAUAUACCCCCUCAACACGAUGGCCGGACCCUUCUCAACGACCCGGCACGAUGGCCGGGCCCACAUUCCUCAUAUCAAGCGACACGAUGGUCGGGAUCACAUGCACGUAUCAUUAACCAUAAACAGCAAUAACAUCAAUACUUAACCAUAAACAACAAUAUUUAAACGGCUACUAAACAUAAACAGCAACCCUAAUUAAAAAAAACAGCAAGAUUCAACCCUAACUAACUAUAGAACUAAACAUAAAUAACAAUAUUUAAAUCCUAACUAAACAUAAACAAUAGGAUUCAACCCUAAUUAAGAAAACAGCAAGAUUCAACCCUAAUUAACUAUAGAACUAAUUUGACUCACCGGGACAGGGGCUUCGUCAGCCGGCGGAGGAGUCGGGGC
rnacentral:lncRNA from 1 species